UCCCUCAUGGCUCAGCUGGUAAAGAAUCUGCCUGCAAUGCAGAAGACCUGGGUUCAAUUCCUGGGUUGGGAA
rnacentral:tRNA from 1 species